rnacentral:rRNA from 2 species
GAUGAACGCUGGCUGUGUGCCUAAUACAUGCAUGUCGAGCGGAAGUAGCAAUACUUUAGCGGCGAAUGGGUGAGUAACACGUGCUUAAUCUACCUUUUAGAUUGGAAUACCUAAUGGAAACAUUGGUUAAUGCCGGAUACGCAUGAAGUCGCAUGACUUCGUUGUGAAAGGAGCGUUUGCUCCGCUAAGAGAUGAGGGUGCGGAACAUUAGCUAGUUGGUGAGGUAAUGGCCCACCAAGGCUAUGAUGUUUAGCCGGGUCGAGAGACUGAACGGCCACAUUGGGACUGAGAUACGGCCCAAACUCCUACGGGAGGCAGCAGUAGGGAAUAUUCCACAAUGAGCGAAAGCUUGAUGGAGCGACACAGCGUGCACGAUGAAGGCCCUCGGGUUGUAAAGUGCUGUUGCAAGGGAAGAACAGUUAGUUGAGGAAAUGCUUCUAAUCUGACGGUACCUUGUUAGAAAGCGAUGGCUAACUAUGUGCCAGCAGCCGCGGUAAUACAUAGGUCGCAAGCGUUAUCCGGAAUUAUUGGGCGUAAAGCGUUCGUAGGCUGUUUAUUAAGUCUGGAGUCAAAUCCCAGGGCUCAACCCUGGCUCGCUUUGGAUACUGGUAAACUAGAGUUAGAUAGAGGUAAGCGGAAUUCCAUGUGGAGCGGUGAAAUGCGUAGAUAUAUGGAAGAACACCAAAGGCGAAGGCAGCUUACUGGGUCUAUACUGACGCUGAGGGACGAAAGCGUGGGGAGCAAACAGGAUUAGAUACCCUGGUAGUCCACGCUGUAAACGAUGAUCAUUAGUCGGUGGAAAACUACUGACGCAGCUAACGCAUUAAAUGAUCCGCCUGAGUAGUAUGCUCGCAAGAGUGAAACUUAAAGGAAUUGACGGGGACCCGCACAAGCGGUGGAGCAUGUGGUUUAAUUUGAAGAUACGCGGAGAACCUUACCCACUCUUGACAUCCCCUGCAAAGCUAUAGAGAUAUAGUAGAGGUUAACAGGGUGACAGAUGGUGCAUGGUUGUCGUCAGCUCGUGUCGUGAGAUGUUUGGUCAAGUCCUGCAACGAGCGCAACCCCUAUCUUUAGUUACUAACGAGUCAUGUCGAGGACUCUAGAGAUACUGCCUGGGUAACCGGGAGGAAGGUGGGGAUGACGUCAAAUCAUCAUGCCUCUUACGAGUGGGGCUACACACGUGCUACAAUGGUCGGUACAAAGAGAAGCAAUAUGGCGACAUGGAGCAAAUCUCAAAAAGCCGAUCUCAGUUCGGAUUGAAGUCUGCAAUUCGACUUCAUGAAGUCGGAAUCGCUAGUAAUCGCAGAUCAGCUACGCUGCGGUGAAUACGUUCUCGGGUCUUGUACACACCGCCCGUCACACCAUGGGAGCUGGUAAUACCCAAAGUCGGUUUGCUAACCUCGGAGGCGACUGCCUAAGGUAGGACUGGUGACUGGGGUGAAG